rnacentral:rRNA from 1 species
CACGUAGGGCGCAAGCGUUGUCCGGAAUUAUUGGGCGUAAAGGGCUCGUAGGCGGUUUGUCGCGUCGGGAGUGAAAUCCACUGGCUUAACUGGUGGCUUGCUUUCGAUACGGGCAGACUGGAGGUAUGCAGGGGAGAACGGAAUUCCUGGUGUAGCGGUGAAAUGCGCAGAUAUCAGGAGGAACACCGGUGGCGAAGGCGGUUCUCUGGACAGUUCCUGACACUGAGGCACGAAGGCCAGGGGAGCAAACGGG